rnacentral:rRNA from 1 species
CAAGGAAUUUUCGUCAAUGGGCGCAAGCCUGAACGAGCAACGCCGCGUGGUGGAUGACGGCCUUCGGGUUGUAAACACCUUUUGCGGGGGACGAUGAUGACGGUACCCCGCGAACAAGGCUCGGCUAACUCUGUGCCAGCAGCCGCGGUAAGACAGAGGAGCCAAGCGUUGUCCGGAUUGACUGGGCGUAAAGCGCACGCAGGCGGUCGCGCGCGUGGGGUGUGAAAUCUGGCCGCUUAACGGCCAGGCGCCAUCCCAUACGGCGCGGCUGGAGGGCUGCAGAGGGCGAUGGAAUUGCCGGUGUAGUGGUGAAAUGCGUAGAGAUCGGCAGGAACACCCAGGGGGAAACCAGUCGCCUGGGCAGCACCUGACGCUGAGGUGCGAAAGCGUGGGGAGCGAACCGGAUUAGAUACCCGGGUAGUCC